rnacentral:rRNA from 1 species
GGUCAAGCGACUAAGCGCAUACGGUGGAUGCCUUGGCAGUCAGAGGCGAUGAAGGACGUAGGAGCCUGCGAUAAGCAUCGGGGAGGUGGCAACCAACCUUUGAUCCGGUGAUGUCCGAAUGGGGAAACCCACCUGGUGUAAGCCAGGUAUCCUUAACUGAAUACAUAGGUUAAGGAGGCGAACUCAGGGAACUGAAACAUCUAAGUACCUGAAGGAAAAGAAAUCAAUUGAGAUUCCCCCAGUAGCGGCGAGCGACCGGGGAAAAGCCUGCAAGUGAUAGCAGUGCGGUUAGUGGAACGGUCUGGAAAGUCCGGCGACAGAGGGUGAUAGCCCCGUACACGAAAACCGCGUUGUGAUACUGAGCUUGCGACAAGUAGGUCGGGACACGUGUUAUCUUGACUGAAUAUGGGGGGACCAUCCUCCAAGGCUAAAUACUCCUGACUGACCGAUAGUGAACCAGUACCGUGAGGGAAAGGCGAAAAGAACCCCGGAGAGGGGAGUGAAAUAGAUCCUGAAACCGUAUGCGUACAAGCAGUGGGAGCCCCAUCUUCAAGCCACUUUGGUGGUGAUGAAGAAUUCACCAAAGCUUUGAGUAAGGUAAGCGUCGCGCAGCGACGAUCAACCGCUUAAAACAACGUAGCUUUAGCGAAGUUGUUUUGGUUGAUUGACGGUGUGUGGCGAUCAACCGCUCAAAGGAAGCAGAGGUGGUUUGAAGAUGGGGUGACUGCGUACCUUUUGUAUAAUGGGUCAGCGACUUAUUGUCUGUAGCGAGCUUAACCGAAUAGGGGAGGCGUAGGGAAACCGAGUCUUAACAGGGCGUAUAGUUGCAGGCAAUAGACCCGAAACCGGGCGAUCUAUCCAUGGCCAGGCUGAAGGUUGGGUAACACUAACUGGAGGGCCGAACUCACUAAUGUUGAAAAAUUAGGAGAUGAGCUGUGGAUCGGAGUGAAAGGCUAAUCAAGCCCGGAGAUAGCUGGUUCUCCUCGAAAUCUAUUUAGGUAGAGCGUCGUGUCUUACCCUGGGGGGUAGAGCACUGUUUGGGCUAGGGGGUCAUCCCGACUUACCAACCCCAUGCAAACUCCGAAUACCCAGGAGUACAAUCACGGCAGGCAGACAGCGGGUGCUAACGUCCGUUGUCGAGAGGGCAACAACCCAGACCGCCAGCUAAGGUCCCCAAUACCAGUUAAGUGGGAAACGAUGUGGGAAGGCUUAGACAGCUAGGAGGUUGGCUUAGAAGCAGCCAUCCUUUAAAGAAAGCGUAAUAGCUCACUAGUCGAGUCGGCCUGCGCGGAAGAUUUAACGGGGCUAAACUGGUAACCGAAGCUGCGGAUGCACAUGUACCUCUAAACGCUAUUGUUGGAGCUUGUCGACGGCUGCCGAAGGCAGACGGCGACCAAGCCCUCCCGAACGUUGAGUUGGCCUGCGGGUCUGAUUUGGCACAAGGGCAGUAGUGAUAGUAGCGUUUAGUGGUACAUGUGCAUGGUAGAGGAGCGUUCUGUAAGCCGUUGAAGGUGAAUCGUGAGGUUUGCUGGAGGUAUCAGAAGUGCGAAUGCUGACAUGAGUAACGACAAGGGGGGUGAAAAACCUCCCCGCCGGAAGAUCAAGGUUUCCUGCGCAACGCUAAUCGGCGCAGGGUGAGUCGGCCCCUAAGGCGAGGGCGAAAGCCGUAGUCGAUGGGAAACGGGUUAAUAUUCCCGUACUUUUUCAUAAUGCGAUGGGGGGACGGAGAAGGCUAGGCCAGCGCGGCGAUGGUAGUCCGCGUUUAAGGUUGUAGGCUGGUUGCUUAGGUAAAUCCGGGCGAUCAAGGCCGAGAGCUGAUGACGAGUUCUGGUGCGAGCCAGGAUGAAGUGGUUGAUGCCAUGCUUCCAGGAAAAGCCUCUAAGCUUCAGUUAUGAAGGAACCGUACUGUAAACCGACACAGGUGAUCAGGUAGAGAAUACCAAGGCGCUUGAGAGAACUCGGGUGAAGGAACUAGGCAAAAUGGUACCGUAACUUCGGGAGAAGGUACGCCGGUUUGGGUGAAGGGACUUGCUCCCCGAGCCUGGGCUGGCCGAAGUGACCAGGUGGCUGCGACUGUUUAUUAAAAACAUAGCACUCUGCAAACACGAAAGUGGACGUAUAGGGUGUGACGCCUGCCCGGUGCCGGAAGGUUAAUUGAUGGGGUUAUCUUCGGAGAAGCUCUUGAUCGAAGCCCCGGUAAACGGCGGCCGUAACUAUAACGGUCCUAAGGUAGCGAAAUUCCUUGUCGGGUAAGUUCCGACCUGCACGAAUGGCGUAACGAUGGCCACACUGUCUCCACCCGAGACUCAGUGAAAUUGAAAUCGCUGUUAAGAUGCAGUGUACCCGCGGCUAGACGGAAAGACCCCGUGAACCUUUACUAUAGCUUCACACUGGACUUUGACCUUACUUGUGUAGGAUAGCUGGGAGGCUUUGAAGCGGUGGCGCCAGCCAUCGUGGAGCCAACCUUGAAAUACCAGCCUGGUAAUGUUGAGGUUCUAACUUAGGUCCCUUAUCGGGAUCGAGGACAGUGUGUGGUGGGUAGUUUGACUGGGGCGGUCUCCUCCCAAAGAGUAACGGAGGAGCACGAAGGUGCGCUAAUCACGGUCGGAAAUCGUGAGGUUAGUGUAAAGGCACAAGCGCGCUUGACUGCGAGUCUGACAAGACGAGCAGGUACGAAAGUAGGUCUUAGUGAUCCGGUGGUUCUGAAUGGAAGGGCCAUCGCUCAACGGAUAAAAGGUACUCCGGGGAUAACAGGCUGAUACCGCCCAAGAGUUCACAUCGACGGCGGUGUUUGGCACCUCGAUGUCGGCUCAUCACAUCCUGGGGCUGAAGCCGGUCCCAAGGGUAUGGCUGUUCGCCAUUUAAAGUGGUACGCGAGCUGGGUUUAGAACGUCGUGAGACAGUUCGGUCCCUAUCUGCCGUGGGCGUUGGAGAUUUGAGGGAAGCUGCUCCUAGUACGAGAGGACCGGAGUGGACGAACCUCUGGUGUUCGGGUUGUCACGCCAGUGGCAUUGCCCGGUAGCUAUGUUCGGACAGGAUAACCGCUGAAAGCAUCUAAGCGGGAAGCCCCUCCCAAGAUGAGAUCUCCCUGGGGACUUGAUCCCCCUGAAGGGCCGUUGAAGACUACAACGUUGAUAGGCUGGGUGUGGAAGCACGGUAACGUGUUGAGCUAACCAGUACUAAUUGCCCGUGAGGCUUGACCAU